UCCGUAGGUGAACCUGCGGAAGGAUCAUUACCGAGUGAGGGCCCUCUGGGUCCAACCUCCCACCCGUGUCUAUCGUACCUUGUUGCUUCGGCGGGCCCGCCGUUUCGACGGCCGCCGGGGAGGCCCUGCGCCCCCGGGCCCGCGCCCGCCGAAGACCCCAACAUGAACGCUGUUCUGAAAGUAUGCAGUCUGAGUUGAUUAUCGUAAUCAGUUAAAACUUUCAACAACGGAUCUCUUGGUUCCGGCAUCGAUGAAGAACGCAGCGAAAUGCGAUAAGUAAUGUGAAUUGCAGAAUUCAGUGAAUCAUCGAGUCUUUGAACGCACAUUGCGCCCCCUGGUAUUCCGGGGGGCAUGCCUGUCCGAGCGUCAUUGCUGCCCUCAAGCACGGCUUGUGUGUUGGGCCCCCGUCCCCCUCUCCCGGGGGACGGGCCCGAAAGGCAGCGGCGGCACCGCGUCCGGUCCUCGAGCGUAUGGGGCUUUGUCACCUGCUCUGUAGGCCCGGCCGGCGCCAGCCGACACCCAACUUUAUUUUUCUAAGGUUGACCUCGGAUCAGGUAGGGAUACCCGCUGAACUUAAG
rnacentral:rRNA from 1 species